CCUACGGGUGGCUGCAGUGGGGAAUAUUGGACAAUGGGCGAAAGCCUGAUCCAGCCAUGCCGCGUGUGUGAAGAAGGCCUUCGGGUUGUAAAGCACUUUCAGUGGGGAAGAAAGCCUUGGGGCUAAUACCCUCGAGGAAGGACAUCACCCACAGAAGAAGCACCGGCUAACUCCGUGCCAGCAGCCGCGGUAAUACGGAGGGUGCGAGCGUUAAUCGGAAUUACUGGGCGUAAAGCGCGCGUAGGCGGUCUGAUAAGCCGGUUGUGAAAGCCCCGGGCUCAACCUGGGAACGGCAUCCGGAACUGGCAAGCUAGAGUACAGGAGAGGAAGGUAGAAUUCCCGGUGUAGCGGUGAAAUGCGUAGAGAUCGGGAGGAAUACCAGUGGCGAAGGCAGCCAUCUGGACUGACACUGACGCUGAGGUGCGAAAGCGUGGGUAGCAAACAGGAUUAGAUACCCUAGUAGUC
rnacentral:rRNA from 1 species